UCAUGCAUCUACCUAUUUCCCAAUUUGCACUCUUCUUCCAUCCUGUUUGUACUAUACGCUUCACACGUUUCGACCGUAGGCUUGGCCCGGCCGCCACUACCGACCAACCGAAAUCCUGCUGGGUGAUCUUUUCGGUGCAAGGGGCUAGCGGAAGGCAGGGCACCUAUAGAAAAUUAAGAUGGCAGUGGAUGUCCUGUAAAUAUGUCAUUUUCAAGGCUUUGUAGAAGAAGCAAUCUCCUUCCUUGCAAUAAGAAUUUACAACACACUUAUCCUGAAGCGAGGUGCAUGCCUAAUAUUUUAGGCUAGUCAAGUUAUAAUCUCAUCGGAUCUAAUACUGGAUAUCAGAGGGGUUACAAUUAUGAUAUUCAGGGCUUGAACUUAGGAUGUGAAUUUAGUACGAGGCCAUUUGAUAAAUGUAGCUGGUUUUCCCCUUUUGCUUCUGGGUAUGCUGGGAGAUUUUUUCCUUUGCUCAAUAUUCAGUGACGCUAUGCCUCUCUAGCUUCCAGAGAACAGAAAUCACCGAAGACUCUUUUAUACCUUAUGGCUUUGGUUUUUGCAAUGGUGGGUAGUAGCUAUGCUGCUGUUCCACUGUACAGAAGGUUCUGCCAAGCUACAGGGUAUGGAGGCACUGUCCAGCGACAAGAGAGUGUAGAAGAAAAGAUAGCUCAGCAUGCUAAAGACGGAACUGUCGCUACAUGGGAGAUUGUAGUGCAAUUCAAUGCCGAUGUGGCAGAUGGAAUGCCAUGGAAGUUUGUGCCCACUCAAAGAGAGGUUCUUUCUUUUAUACUACAUGGUGGUUGAGGGGAGGGGCGGCAGCCAUGUGGAGGAGCUUUGGCAGUGGGUCUAUCCCACGGUGGUGCAGUAUAGCAGGGUGGUUUCCGCGACCUGCUGUGUGUGGGACGACUGCUAGUGUGGACUGGAGGGCUGUUCGUGCAUGCAGGGGCAGCGCUGUGGGAGGUUCCCAACCUGCUGUGGCUUGAGGUAGAGAAUGCUCGCUGGAGAGAAACCUUGGAACUGCUGGUUUGCCGUGGGCUGUGGGAACAAAUUGAGCAACUGAGUUGGUUUUCUACGGGUCUCAGCGGUUGUGGCGUGUUGCCGUGUUCGUUGGGUGCUUGCUGGACGUGAAGACGUGGAGACGUGGGGGAGAAGCAACAGGGAGGAGAAACCGCCGGGUGGGUGUGGGGUGAUGGGCUAUGUGAUGGUGGUUAGAGCGGUUCCAUCGUACUGUGGCUAGAAGUGAUCUGCUGUGAUAGCGAACAACGUUGUUAACGGCUUGAAGAGGGAGGGAGUAUGAGAUUAUAUUUUCAUAUGUGCAGCCUAGUUUUGCAAGUGUGUAUAUAUAUAUAUGUAAGAGUCAAGCCUGGAGAAAGUGCUCUCGCAUCCUACACUGCUGAAAAUCGAAGUUCAGCUCCAAUAACUGGUGUUUCUACCUAUAAUGUCACCCCCUAUGAAGGCUGCAGUUUACUUUAACAAUAUACAAUGCUUUUGCUUUGAGGAGCAGCGUCUUCUUCCUGGGGAGCAGAUUGACAUGCCUGUAUUCUUUUAUAUUGAUCCUGAGUUUGAAACAGAUCCCAGAAUGGAUGGCAUCAAUAACGUAAUCUUGUCAUAUACAUUUUUCAAGGUCUCUGAGUAAUGAAAGGGAUCCUGCUAUUGCAGCUUUGCAAGUUCCCUGAGAACAUCUGAGGGAACGAAAUUUUGUAUUAAAAGGAAGAAGAUUGCGAACAAACAUAACAAAUAUCAAAAUUUUUAUUAUAUAUAUUUAGUCUUUAGCUUUUUUUUCUACA